rnacentral:lncRNA from 1 species
CGGUAGCUUUUAAACAGUUUGCAUGUUCGUGGUAUUAUGAUAAAACAUCAAUUUCAUUUGAAAACCCGAGUUUUACCUAACACUAGCAGAUUUAAAUCAUAAAACCGUAUAAACCCAAAUUUAAACUAAAGUAAGUAAAGGCCAUAAUUACAGCAAAAUACUCCCAAAUAAAAGUAAAAUCAUGAAUAGGCAAUAAACAAUGUAAAAGGAGUCGUGCGGCCACCACUGAGUCCUUCGCUGCACCGACCCACCUAUAUUUAGGGAUUACCUGUACAGAUUAAAAAGAAGGGGUGAGUUUACGUAAACUCAGUGUGUAAUCCCCAUAUAAAUGAACAAACAGUAACCAGAUAAUCACAGUCUGGGCUUAAGCCCUUUUCAGUAUUAGUAUCAGUCCAGUUUGGGCCUUAGCCCAUCUCAAUACAAAAACAGUCCACAGUAGGGCUUUAGCCCAUCACAGUAUCAGUAGCAGUAACAAAUAUGCAGUCACAGAAAUCCUACCCAUCCAGCCACUACUCACCAUCUCUGUCCAACACUACACUCCAUGUGGGGAUAUAAUCAACCCACCCAUCCCUACACCCGAAGUAGUACCAAAUGUGGCACUAGACCGUAGUUUGUAGCUGUACUACCAGUAAAUAAGGCUCGAAGCCUUUCAGUACACUUCCUCCGAACAAUGUCAACCCCCAACCCAAUACAAUGCAAUAUACAGUUAUGAUAUGCUAUUACAUGGUAACAGUACAUACAAUAUCAAUUCAGUGAAACAUCAUCACGCUCGAUAACAUGUAUACCUAUAAAUCAGUCAUACAGUCAUUUCAUUCAAUUAGGGGUAUAGGUAAGCUUACCGACCCUACCGUAGGUUCACAGACAUCUUAGGCGACCCGUGCAACCUUGGUAACAAACCAGUGAAAAUGGGCUCACAUGCCCAUGUUGUCUGCCUGUGUGGGCCCACAUGCCCGUGAGGCCUACAUGGGCUAAAUUAGCCUUGGCCGUGUGGAUCACACGGCCUGGCCCAGAAUCUCACACACCUGUGUGGCAUACUCGUGUAGGCCCACACAAAUGUGUCUAGUGCACACGGCCUGGCCUAUUCAAUCACACGCUCGUGUUAUGGCACAAGCCUACCACACGGCCGUGUGACGUCGAUAACAUAGUUUUUGGCUUUCGUCGAAACCUUAUUUUCUAUAUUUUCGGGUAAACACCUAGUUUCGAUUCAAAGAUAAAGCCACCACAAGCACUCUAGAACCUAUUAUUGACCAACAUUUCACUGAAUUAGUCACUUGAACGCUCAAAUUAAACUUAACCCCAAAACAGAAAAGUCCUCUUCUAACCGAAAAAAACCCUUACCUUAUAAACUACAGAUACUUCCCUCUAUAACUCAGCACCAGCACAACCCCUCAGACUGGAUUUUUAGCUGUCAAUGCAAUUAAACAAAGGUUCCCCAAUUAAUAACUUAAAAAUUGAAAUUUUAAAGCACAUUAUCACUUACCGAAUGAGUGUGACCCUAUGUUGCGCAAUAUGACGAAUUGAAAACAAAGUUGAAAAGGAAAAAGAAGUAGGUGGAUUCAGCAAGAAGGAGGGUAAAAUUUGGCAAUAAAGGAAAAAAAAGAUGAAGAAGGAAACAGCAAAGACUUUUUGUAGGAGAGAAGAAAAAUAACUGGGUAACUCCCAAAUUCACUAUUUUGCUUUUACUAAACUACAUCCGUUUCAACUACUUCAGUAUUCCAAUCCAUCUCAAACACCUACACGACAUUUGCAGCAAAAAUAAUGCCUAAGUACAGACUCAAACACAAGACCUUCCUCACACUAACACCCCAUUUAACCACUAGACCAGCAGGCUUAUUCUAACAUUAUUUUACAAACAACUCUACCUAAACCCUUUAAGCAAGACUAAGGCUUCAAUCAUUAAAAAUUUCAAAAUUUGCCCAAGUCAAGGCUUGAACUUGGGACCUCUCACACACACCCAGAACACUUAACCACUGAAGCAGAUACACACUUGUGUCACAUUUUCACGAAAGCCAAAAUAAAAAUUUUGGGGUGUUACAACACUACCCCCUACAAGAAAAUUUCAUCCUCAAAAUUUACCUGAUCAGAAUAGGUGAGGAUACUGCUGACGCAUCGUAUCCUCAGGCUCUCACGUAGCUUCCUCCAUGCUAUGAAUAUGCCAUAGAAUUUUAACCAGUGGAAUAGACUUCCUCCACAAAAAUUUUACGUCACGAUCCAAUAUAUGAACCUACUCCUCCUCGAAGGUCAGAUCUGGCCUAACCUUGAUCUCUUCAAUAGGUACAAUAUGCGUGGGAUCAGAGCGGUAGUACCUCAACAUCGAUAUAUGGAAAAUAUCGUGAAUCUGGUCUAACUCUGAAGGUAGCUCUAACUGGUAGGCAAUCGGUCCCACUCGUUUCAGUAUGUGGUAGGGUCCAAUAAACUUAGGGCUCAACUUACCCUUACGACCAAAUCUCAGUACCUUCUUCUAUGGAGAGACCUUAAGAAAAACGAAGUCCCCCAAAUAAUAAUCAAUCUCGCGAUGCUCCAGAUCCGCAUAGAACUUCUACCUGUCUAUACUACUUUCAGUCGAUCCCGUAUCAAUCUGACCUUAUCCUCAGUAUCAGAAACUAGUUCAUUACCCAGAACUCGUUGCUCGCCCAACUCAGUCCAGCAUAAAGGAGUGCGACACUUAAAACCAUAGAGUGCCUCAUAAGGUGCCAUCUGUAUACUAGACUGGUAACUAUUAUUGUAAGCGAACUCUGCCAAUGGCAAAUACUUCUCUCAACUCCCUUGGAAGUCAAUCACACAGCUCCUCAACACAUCCUCUAGUAUCUGAAUCACCCUCUCGAAUUGACCAUCUCUCUGAGGAUGGAAAGCAGUAUUGAAGUCUAACCUUGAACUCAGAGCCUCAUGUAGUUUUUUUAAGAACUAAGACGUGAAGCGAGGAUCCCUAUCAGAGAUGAUCGAACCCAAUACCCCAUGCAGUCUCAUUAUCUUAGACACAUAGUUUAGCCAACUUCUACAACGAGUAGUCAGUAUGAACCGGUAUGAAAUAGGUAGACUUGGUCAAUCGAUUCACGAUGACCCAUAUAGAAUCCUUCUUAGUAGAUGUGAGGGGUAACCCACUAACGAAGUCCAUAGUCACCCGCUCUCAUUUCUAAAGUGGAAUCCUAAUUGGAUGCAUCAAACCCAAAGGUAACUGAUGCUCAGCCUUAACCUGCUGGCAAGUCAGACAUUUUCCCACAAAAUCGGUAACCUCACAUUUAAGUCCUGGCCACUAGUCUAACUCACGAAGGUAGCGGUACAUCUUAUUUUUGCCAAGAUACAUAGCAUAGAGGCUACUAUGCGCCUCUCUCAGUAUCAACUACCUCAAUUCAAUGUCUUUCGACACACAGACUCUCUCACAGAAAUAGAGUACCCCUUCGCUAUUCAAUCUAAAGUCUUCAGUAAGCUCACUCUCAACCUGUCAAAAACGAAGACCUAACGAUUCAUCUUUCAACUGCUUACCCUUAAUUUGCUCAAUCCACGUAGGCUUAGCCUGAAGCUCAGCUAGCAGACUUCCAUCAUCAAAUGAACUUAGGCGAGCAAACAUCACCCUCAAAUCAGUCACAACCUUACAACUCAAUCCGUCAGCCACCACAUUGGACUUACCAAGGUGGUAUUCAAUCGUACAGUCGUAAUCUUUAGGCAGCUCAAUCCAUGUUUGCUGCCUAAGAUUUAGCUCCUUCUGAGUGAGGAGAUACUUGAGGCUCUUGUGAUCCGUGUAGAUGAUACACUUCUUACUAUACAGAUAAUGCAUCCAGAUUUUUAGUGCGAAUACUACAGCGGCCAACUCUAGGUUAUACAUCGAAUAACUCGCUUCAUGAGUCUUAAGCUAUCGAGACACAUACGCUACCACCUUACCCUCUUGCAUCAACACACAUCCCAAACCGACAUGUGAUGCAUCGCUGUAGACAGUAAACUCUUUUUCAAACUCUGGCUGUAUUAAAACAGGGGCCUCAUUUACUAUAGUUUUCAACUUCUCAAAGCUCUCUUACUGUGUAUCAGUCUAGUUAAACGGCAUACCCUUGCGUAACAGCUUAGUCAAAGGUGCCGCAAUCAAUGAAAACCCUUCUACAAAAUGUCGAUAAUACCCUAUUAGUCCCAGAAAACUACGGAUCUCAGAUACAAUCUUAGGCUGCUUCCAAUCCAAAACAGCCUCAAUCUUUCGAGGAUUGGCUUUAAUCCCCUCAACAGAAACCACAUGUCCCAGAAAUGCUACUUCACGUAACUGGAACUCACAUUUAUAGAACUUGCCGUAUAGUUAUUUCUCUCGUAGAAUCUGUAGAACCACUCUGAGAUGUUCAUCGUGCUAAUCUUCAGUCUUCGAAUACACCAGUAUGUCAUCAAUAAAUACCACGCGAACCGAUCCAAAUAAGGUUGGAACACUCAGUUCAUCAAAUCCAUGAAAGCUACCGGUGCAUUCGUUAGUCCAAAUUGUAUCACUAGGAACUCGUAAUGACCACAUCGGGUCCUAAAUAUUGUCUUAUGUAUAUCAGUCUCUUUAACCCUCAACUGAUGAUAUCUUGAUCGAAGAUCAAUUUUGGAGAAAAUUGAAGCUGCUCAGAACUGGUCAAAUAGAUCAUCUAUCCUCGGUAAGGGAUACUUAUUCUUGAUUGUCAACUUGUUCAAUUGUCAAUAGUCAAUACACAUACGCAUGGAUCCAUCCUUCUUUUUCACGAACAGAACUGGUGCUCCCCAUGGAGACAUACUAGGGCAGAUGAACCCACGAUCUAGUAACUUUUGAAUCUGAGCCGUAAACUUCACAAGCUCUUUCAGUGUCAUUCUAUAGGGAGCGAUGGACACUGAAGUUGUACCAGGAAAGAGCUCAAUCUCGUACUCUACUUCACAAUUCAAAAGUAACCCUAGUAGCUCUUCAGGAAAUACAUCAGGAAAGUCCUUAACCGUCUUGAUAUCAUUUACUGAAGAAUCUCAAGAAUCUAAAACACUGAUGCAGGCCAGAUACGCCUCACAUCCCUUACGAACCAACUUUUUCGCCCUCAAUGCAGAAAUCACAUUUAAUAAGUAGUUCAGACGUUCCCUAAUUACAACUACCUUGCUAUCCUCCCCAGUUCUCAAUACAACCCUUUUUAUGACACAAUUUAAGCUCACUCGGUGUUUAACCAACCAAUCUAUUCCCAGUAUCAGAUUAAACUCUCCAAAAGGCAGUUCCAUCAGAUAAGCUAGAAAGAUAGCCACUUGAACCUCUAGAGGAACAUCUCUAAACAACUUAUUCACCCUUACUGAUUGUCCCAGCGAACUCAGUACAGUCACCUCACUUGUAGUGCUCUCAACCAAGAUACUCAAGUUUUCAGACACAGUACAAGCUAUAUAGGAGUGAGUGGAUCCUAUAUAUAUCAGUGCAAUAUAAGGUACAUUAUAAAUAAAGAACAUACCCGUGAUGACGUCCAUAGCAUCUCCAUCCUCUCGACGAUAUGCAGUAUAAACUAGAGCCUGCUGCCUUGCCUCAGUAUGACCAGCACCUCUGUCCGGUGCUCUCUGACUAUGGCCCAACCCAUUACCACCUCGAGCCUGACCACGGCCUCUCAGUGGUGGUACAAUACUAAUAAUCAAAGCCUACAUCUAAUUGAAUCUCUGUGAACACUCUUUAAUACGGUGCUCUAAUGAACCACACUUUAAACAAGCCCCAUUUCUUUUCCAACACUCACCCUGAUGGCAUCUACCAUAAUCAAUACACGACAGCUGUCCAGUAGUAGCAAUAGGAACCCCAACACUGAUCGGUCCAUCAACUCUGGCCUUUUUCUUAGGCCUCUGAACGAAACUCGAAGGCUCCGAAUUUCUCUUGCUCCUACCUCUCUCUUGGUUCUGGAACUCAGUACGGUCCACUUUCUCGAUGAUUUUUUCCUUAUCAACUAGUGUAGCAAAGUCCCGUUCCCUCUGUGGAGCUAUCAGAACCCUCAGAUUAUCCCUAAGGCCAUCCUCGAAGCGAACACAUUACUCAUACUCAGUCGCCACCACACCUCGCGCAUAGUAGCUCAGUUACAGAAAUUCGGCCUCAUACUCGGCCCCUAAUCUAUCACCCUGGGUCAAAUUCAAGAACUCUCUCCUAUGAGCAUCUACAUCACUAGCCCCCACAUACUUCCUCUGGAAAGCGGUCUUAAAGAACUUCCAGGUUAGUCGAUUGGGCUGAGUGCCCUCCUUAACAGUGAGCCACCACUGAUAUGCCUCAUCACAUAGUAGCGAUACAACACCUUUUAAUUUCUACUCAGGAGUGCAGUCUAGAUCGUCCAUAAUCCUCUAUGUGGCCUUUAUCUAGUAUUCAGCCACAUAAGGGGCAACUCUAGCAAUACCCCUAAAAAGCUCAGCUCUAUUAGACCAGAGCCAUUCUGUAACCGACUUGCGGCCUCCAGCUUUAGUAUUGGGCCUAGCAACCCUCUCUAAAAUCCUCAAAAUGGCCCGGGAUAGUGCGUUAUCCCCAACCGCUCGAUCAUGAGAUCCAAUAAAGCCAGUUUCUCACUAGUAUCCAAAUUAGGCAGAUUGCCAAAUGACGAAGACCCAGCUCGAGCACCUCUACGGCCUCUACCUUGGCCUCUUGUACUCCAUCUGUGAGUACCUCUAGUGCUCAUUGUCUAAUUGUGUUUUAUCUAUAUUAACAGUUUUAUGCAUCAGCUUACAGUUCCAAUGUUUACUAACAGAUCUUUUAUGAAAACAAUAUCAGAAGUGUAAAAUUUGUUUCAUACAUCGCAGUGUCAAUCAAUGUCUAUCAGUUUUACUACAGUCUCGGUAUACCCUAUUUUGGGUGUUUUCAAUACAAUCUAUCUAUAGUAGUCUUAGUAUAUACUACCUAUAACAGUUUCAAGAUAUACUAUCAAAAACAAUUUCAGAAUAAUUCACAGUUUCAAAAAAUUUACCGGAUCGGCGCCGGAGACUCAGUGUACCCCACUUUCAGUAAAAAUAUUUAGAAAUUAAUUCUUAAAAAAUCACUUCUUAAAAACCCACGUCCAUAGCCGAGUUUUACAACCUGGCUCUGAUACCACUAAAUGUAACACCCCAAAUUCAACUUAGACGUUAUGGCCGAAUCUGACGAUGUCUUGUGAUAGUGCUUUUCGAAAAAUGUCGUUGCUAAAUUCUCUUUUCUAUUUAACCCCUUUUUUAUCUUAUGUUAAUUUCAAAUCAUGUCGUUCGUUUUUAAAAAUUAACCAUUUGCAAAUCGGUAUUCAAUUUCCAAAACAUUUUUCAAUGAGGAAGCUUUUAAACAGUUUGUGUGUUCGUGGUAUUUUGAUAAAACAUCAAUUUCAUUUGAAAACCCGAGUUUUACCUAACACUAGCAUAUUUAAAUCAUAAAACUGUAUAAAUCCAAAUUUAAACCAAAUUUCGUAAAGGCCAUAAUUACAGAAAAAUACUCCCAAAUAAAAGUAAAAUCAUGACUAGGCAAUAACAAUGUAAAAGAAGUCGUGCGGCCACCACUGAGUCCUUCGCUGCACCGACCCACCUAUAUUUAGGGAUUACCUGUACAGAUUAAACAGAAGGGGUGAGUUUACUUAAACUCAGUGUGUAAUCCCUAUACAAAAGAACAGACAGUAACCAGAUAAUCACAGUCUGGGCUUAAGCCCUUUUCAGUAUCAGUAUCAAUCCAGUUUUGGCCUUAGCCCAUCUCAGCACAAGAACAGUCAUACAGUAGGGCUUUAGCCCAUCACAGUAUCAGUAGCAGUAACAGAUAUGCAGUCAAAGAAAUCCUACUCAUCUAGCCUCUACACACUAUCUCCGUCCAACCCUACACUCCAUGUGGGGAUAUAAUCAACCCACCCAUCCCUACACUCUAAGUAGUACCGAAUGUGGCAAUAGACAGUAGUUUGUAGCUGUACUAUCAGUAAAUUAGGCUCGAAGCCUUCAAGUACACUUCCUCCGAACAAUGUCAACCCCCAACCCAAUGCAAUGAAAUAUACAGUUAUGACAUGCUAUUACAUGGUAACAAUACAUACAAUAUCAGUUCAGUGAAACAUCAUCAUACUCGAUAACAUGUAUACCUAUAAAUCAGUCAUACAGUCAUUUCAUUCAAUUACAGGUCUAGGCAAGCUUACCGACCCUACCGUAGGUUCACAGUCGUCUUAGGUGACCCAUGCAACCUUGGCAACAAACCAGUAAAAAUGGGCUCACAUGCCCAUGUUGUCUGCCCGUGUGGCCCACACAGCCUGAAUUAACCUUGGCUAUGUAGAUCACAUGGCCUUGUCCAGAAUCUCACACAUCCAUGUGGGCCACACGGCUCAAAUUGGUCGAGCUCGUGUAUCGCACACAGUCUACCUGACCAUCACACGGUCAUGUCUGGUGCGCACGGCCUGACCUCGUCGAUCACACCCCGUGUUAUGGCACACGGCGUACCACACGGCCUACCAUACGGCCAUGUGGCGUCAACAGCAUAGUUUUUAGCUUUCGUUAAAACCUCGUUUUCUAUAUUUUUAGGUACACACCUUGUUUCGAUUCGAAGCUAAAGCCACCACGAACACUCUAGAACCUAUUAUUGACUAACAUUUCACUCAAUUAGUCACUUAAACGCUCGAAUUAAACUUAACCCCAAAAUAGAAAAGUCUUCUUCCAAGCGGAAAAACCCUUAACUUACAAGCAAUGGACGCUUCCCUCUAUAACUCGACACCAGCACAGACCCUCACAAUUGAUUUUCAACUGUUAACACAGUGAAAAUUAUAAAACACAUUAAUAACUUAAAAACUAAAAUUUUAAAGCACAUUAUCACUUACCGAGCGAGUGUGACCCUAUGUUGCACAAUAUGACAAAUUGAAAACAAAGUUGAAAAGGGAAAUGAAGGAAAUAGGUGGAUUCAGCAAGAAUGAGGGUAAAAUUUGGCAGCAAAGGAAAAAAAUAAAGAAGGAAACGGAAAAGACUUUUUUGCAUAAGAGAAGAAAAAUAACCGGGUAACUCCCAAAUCCCCUAUUUUUCUCCUACUAAACCACAUUCGUUUCAACUACUUCAGUAUUCCAGUCCAUCUCAAACACCCACACGGCAUUAGCAGCAAAAAUAAUGCCCAAGUACAGACUCGAAAACAAAACCUCCCUCAUACCAACACUCCACUUAACCAUUAGACCAGCAGGUCCAUUCUGACAUUAUUUUACAAACAGCUCUACUUAAACCCUUUAAGCAAUGCUAAGGCUUCAAUCAUUAAAAAUUAUAAAGGCUUGAACUUGGGACCUCUCACACACACCCAGAACACUUAACCACUGAAGCAGAUACACACUUGUGUCACAUUUUCAUGAAAGCCAAAAUAAAAAUUUUGGGGCAUUACAUCAUCUCUCAAAACCAUAGUAGAAAGGUUAGCCGUUAGCACUAGAAAGUUCCAACAAAAGACUGAAGCGCAUCUCCAAGAAAUGGAUCAGUAAACAAGUAAGUUAGCUCUUACGAUUAGUCGUUUAGAGAACCUAAAAAAAUUACGAUCUCAAACUGAGUCGAAUCCAUGUCCAAAUGCAAGUGUUGUGAUUGUAAAGAAUAGGAAUGAGUCAAAAUUAGUGCCUAGCACGAGUCUGUCCAUGAAGUUGAACAGAAAGCCGAACUAGCAACUCCCACUAAACCAGCACCUCAUAAACCAUUUGUUGUAACUCCAACAUACCUUAGAAAGCUUGCCCAAUUUAAAAAUGAACGAAAGCAAAAAGAAAUCCUUGGGACAUUCCAAAAGGUAAAAAUUAAUAUUCCUUUACUUGAUGUAAUUAAAUAGGUUCCAUGCUAUGCAAAUUUUUUGAAAGAACUGUGUACCGGAAAAAAAAAACUCUAAGGAAACGAAUAGGUAAAUGUAGAAGAAAACGUUUCUGUGGUGCUACAAAAAAAAUCCCGCCUAAUUGUAAGGACCGUUUUCUAUAUCUUGCAAAUUAGGUAAUAUUGGCAUAAAGAAAGCCAUGUGUGAUUUAGGAGCAUCUAUUAAUGUAAUACAUUUAUCUAUUUUAAAAUUGCUAAACACGGGUCUUUUGAAAGAAACAGGGUUAUUAUUCAACUGGCAAACAGGUAUUGUGUAAAUCUAGAAGGGAUACUAGAAGAUGUUCUCGUAAAGGUAAAUGAACUAAUUUUUCCUGCAGACUUUUACAUCACCAAUAUGGAGGACGACCACUCAAAAAAUGCUUCUGAUAUUCUACUUGGGAGAUCAUUCCUAAGUACUGCAUUUACAAAUAUUGAUGUUUGUAGUGGAACCCUCACUCUGGAAUUUGAUGGUGAGGCAGUAAAAUUUAAUGUUUAUAACGCGAUGGGCCAACCCAGCACGUCAAAUAUUUCCAGUGUUAAUAUUAUUAAGCCACUAACAAAAUUUCAUUAGGUGUAUCAUGAAGGGGAUAGAUUACAAACUAUACUUUCUUUAACACCCCUAAAGUGACCCUAGUCGGAAAGUGGUUUCGGGACCACUAAACCGAGUUAUAAAGAUAAUUAACCGUCAUAGUUGAUGCUCAUUAUAUGUACAUAUGCAUGUGUGAAAAUUUCAUGUUUGAAUUUUGUUAAUAGUAAGUGAAUUUUAUCAAAUAGGACUUAUGUGAGAAAAUUUAGAAAUGUGCUAGGCAAAUGUAAAGUGGCCUAAUAAUGCAUGUUGUGAAAUGAUGGGUUUGCAUGUCAAAUUACCCAAAAUUAAAGCAUAGUGGCCGGCCAUGCUAUGGGUGGAAACAUGUUGCAAACAUGUUGUGUUAGUGAGUUAUGUUAGAAAGAAUAAAGAAAAGGGGUUAGGAUUAAAGUAAUGCAAAAAGGUGGAGUGAUGAAAAAAAAAUGGUCUCAUCCAUGCCCCCCCUUUUGCCGUGAAUGGAAGAAAGGAAACAAAGAAAAAAAAAGUGUUCAUCCUAGAACAUCUUUGGCCGAAUGUUCUAAGGAGGAAAGGAAACAAGUUGUGUUCUUUGGUUUUUCUUGGCCGGAUUGAGAGGAGGAGGGAAGAAGCUAGGCAUUCGGUCUUCUACUUGCUUAAUUAAGGUAAGUUUUAGGUAAAUUCUUUGAGAUUUUAUGAAAUUUUAGUUGAUGGAUAGGUCUUUGAUUGAGCCCAUGUGUGAAUUUUGAUCCUUGUGGUGAUUUGGGCAUGCGGUUAAGGUAGGAAACUUAGAAGAUGAUUUCUAUUCCUUAUGUUUUAUGAGUUGGGAGCUUAAAUUGAAGAUGAAUAAGGGGAAUAUGUGUAUAGAGGUUUUAGUAGUAUGGAAAUUCGGUUAUGAGAGUGUGUGUGUGCUCACUUGCCGAAUGUGGGUGUCAAGAUUAGUAGGUUGGCUUAAUUCUUGUAUUAGAAAUCUAUUUGAGAAAUUAGAUAGGCUUUGAAUGGUUGAAGUAAUGAAAUUAGAAACUCAUGAACUUGAUUUAAAUAUUUUAAAUUUAUGGUAGUUAAAUGGAAUAGAAAGGAUCUAUUCGGCCAUGGAGGUUAAACACAUUGUUAAAUUGUUGAAUAUAAGCUUUGGUUGUUAAUGAAUAUUCGGUCUUGGUAUGAAUCUCAUUAAUAACAUUUAGUUAUUAGAUUUGGUAUAAAAUACUUAUUGAAAUGGUGGAAUUGGAUGACUUACUUAUGGAUUUUAGUUAUGAGAGUCUUUUGUAAGUAGAGCUAGAGGGUUUAAAGGGUGGUGUUUUAAAAUAAACAUGUAUAUGGACCCUAUGUAUGUACCUUGUAAUGUUAUUGUAAACUUUUGGUUUAACUUGUGUCAUAUUAAUUGCUAAAAUACUAGCUUGUGUGGAAAAUUUUGUGUAUGUUUUUAUGUGCCGAAUGUGAGUUAAAAAAAUGGAGCUCACUAUGUGUAUCAUGGUCAACCUUUGAUAACUAAUAUGUCUUGAUUCGUAAAUUGAGUUAAAAGAUUAUAUAUGUUCGAUCUAGCCUAAGUUAGGCUUGACUUGUAACAUAGUAAUGAUUGACUGAACGUAUAUGUGUGAGAUAGUGAGGAUAAUUGUAUUUCUUGCUUUGAUUAAGUGAAGUAUAUGAAGUUGAUAUACUUAAUUUACUUAAUUAAGCUCAAGAGCUUAGAGGACCAAAGUUGGAUAAAGGAAAGGAAAAAGUGAUCGAAUAGCCGCCGAAAUCGUUCAACAACAUCCGAGGUAAGUUUUAAGUGUUUAAACGUUGAGUAAAUUCAAUUAUAAUAGGACAUGAUGAGUUGAUUUAAUAAGAUAAGAUGUGGCCAUGAUAUGUUCUAAGCUCAAAUGGUAAGUUCUUAAGUGUUUGAGCUUGGGAAUUUAAGGGUAAUUUGAAAUAGUCUGCUUCGGACAGCAGCAGUAACGUGACUUUAGAAAAUCACCAUAAAUUCAUGGACUUGAAUUAGAGGCUGAUUGAGACAUGAAAUUAAAGCUUAAUGAGUCUAGAUUCAAAUGAAAUCAAAUACAACACAUUUCGAAUUCUGUAAAAUGAGAAAUUUGAUUCGUAGUGAAGAGUAGUCAGAUUAGUCAAACAGUGAAACAGGGGAAACUUUAAGAAAAAUCUGGUAUUGAUUGGCCAAACCUAAAAUUCUGGAAAUUUUAUGGAUGGAAGAUAUACGAGUCUAUAUUCAGGAAAAAUUAACGGAAAGUGAUUUGGAGUUUUGUAGCUCCAGUUAUAAAUAAUUUAGUGACUAUUGCUCAGGAAAAACAGCUUGUACUGAAUUUGAGAUUAUGUUGUGAACCUUGAUAAACUUGUUUUAGUUGCUCAUAAGCUAUUGAUUAAACCCAUACUUGAAUUCUAAAUCGUGGUAUUGUAAGUUUAUGAGUAUUCGAAUAUGAAAUGAUAGUAAGGCCUAAUGGCCGAUGUGAUGAACGUGAAAGUGUAUAUAUGUGAUAAGGCCUAAUGGCCGAUGUGAUGAAUGUGAAAGUGUAUAUAUAUGUGAUAAGGCCUAAUGGCCGAUAUGAUGAAUGUGAAAGUGUAUAUACGUGAUAAGGCCUAAUGGCCGAUGUGAUGAAUGUGAAAGUGUAUAUAUGAGAUAAGGCCUAAUGGCCGAUGUGAUGAAUGUGAAAGUGUAUAUACGUGAUAAGGCCUAAUGGCCGAUGUGAUGAAUGUGAAAGUGUAUAUAUAUGUGAUAGGGCCUAAUGGCCGAUGUGAUGAAUGUGAAAGUAUAUAUAUGUGAUAGGGCCUAAAGGCCGAUGUGAUGAAUGUGAAAGUGUAUAUAUAUGUGAUAGGGCCUAAAGGCCGAUGUGAUGAAUGUGAAAGUGUAUAUAUGUGAUAAGGCCUAAUGGCCGAUGUGAUGAAUGUGAAAGUAUAUAUAUGUGACAGGGCCGAGUGGCCAACGUGAUGGAUGUGAAAGUGUAUAAAUGUGAUAAGUCCCGAAGGGCAUUUGUGUCAGUACUAUAUCCGGGUUAAAACCCCGCAGGCUUUAUGCGAGAAUAUUAUCACUGAUUAAUGUCCGUAAGCUUCGUGCUCGUACUAUAUCCGAGCUCUAAAGACCCGAUGACUACGUGUGGGGAUUUUGUCCGGGUAAGACCCGAUAACUUCGUGUGGAGAUUAUGUCCGGGUAAGACUUCGUAAUAAGAAUUGCUUAUAAAUAUAUUCAAUGCGAAAGGUUAAACAAGUAUGUACUCCAAGUUUAUAUGUGAGCUUGAUUUGCACUAAAUCAUAAGGUAGUUAUGUGAUGCAUACGAGAGCAAUCUAUGAGAUGCGCGUAUUCGGUAAAGGGAUGGUAUGCCCGAAGGAAGAGUGAAAUAAAAAUACGAACAACUAUGUUAUAAUUUGAUUGUUAUCUGUUGACACUGCUUAAAACUUACUAAGCAUUGUAAUGCUUACUCCGUUUACUUUGUUUCCUCUGUUUUAUAGAUAUCAUUGCGAAGCUACAGGCUCGGGGAUCGUCAGCAACUAGUCACACUAUCACUAUCCACUGUUUGGUACUGCUAUGUUUUGGAUUAUCUUAUGGCAUGUAUAAAAUAGACUAGUGGCGGAGGAAUAUUUUGGUUAAUGUAUAUAGCCAUGCGAAAAUGGCUUAUAUAUGUUUGAGCAUAAUGUUAUAAUCAUUUGGUAUGGAAUGGUUAAUCACUAUCAUAAUUUGUGCUAUUUAUGCUAAAAGGGCUAGUUGAAUCAUGGAAACUAUGAAGUAGGUAAAGUCUACCUUAAAGGCAGAUGCUGGCAGCAGCAGUGAUAUAGAUUUGGAAAAUCACUAAAAACAGUAGGAUUGGAAUUAAAUAAUGAAUAAAUUAUGUAAACGAACCUUAAUGAAUCCAUUUUCAUAGGAAAGUAACGAAACGAUCAUAUGGACAGUAUGUUAAGAGAUAUUCAGGUUCUCGUGAGACAGGGCCAGAACGGGUUCUGGACUUCCUGUUCCGAAUUUGGAAAUUCAUUACAAAUUAACCAGAGAUAAUUAGGAGUCAUGCCAUAUAUUUAUAGAUUCCUCUCUGAGUCUAGUUUCUAUAGAAAUAAACGGCAUCAGUAUUGAAGCUCUGUGCAGGGAGAUAUCCAAGUCGUAAUGCGCAAAGGUCAGUGUAGUCGAUCCCUGUAACAUGGGAGACUUUGACUACUAAACUGUAUUAAUUGGCCUGACCAAAAAUUCUAGAAAAAAAUAUGUAGAUGGGCAUAUGAGUCUAGUUUCAGGGAAAAAUCACGAAACUAAUUUUCGAGUUGUGAAACUCAAGAUAUGAUUUUUAAGGUGACAGUGACGCAGUUAGCCGACUGCCUGGAAAAAUUUUAAAAUGGACUGCAAUAGUAAGCGAACUUAGUCUGUGAACCCCUCGUGUCCGACUCCGGCAACGGUCUCGAGUACGGGGUGUUACACUUUCCAAAAGUUUAGAUAUCAAUACGAAGGAUAAAUUGGAAAAGAUAAUGACGUUCAGAGAACCGAUUCAAGAAACCUUAUUCUAUUGGAGACUUCUCAAUUCCCUAGAAGCCAAAGUAAGUACUUUGAAAUUUCUCCUUCUAAAACUAAACUGUUGCCUUCUAUUUUGCAGGCCCCAAAAAUAGAGCUUACACCAUUGCCAGAACACUUGAAGUAUGUCUAUCUAGGUAAUAGAAACAAUUUACUGGUAAUAGUUUUAAGUAAACUUUCAGGAUUGGAAGAGGGGAAUUUAAUUCAAGUCUUAAGAUACUAUAAAGGGGCUAUCAGAUGGACGAUUACCGAUAUAAAAGGGUUAAGUCCCUUGACUUGUAUGCACAGAAUACCAAUAGAAGAAAACACAAGCCCAAAGAGAGAAGCUCAAAGACGCCUUAAUCUACUAAUGAUAGAGGUUGUUAAAAAAGGAAAUACAAAAGCUAUUGGACAUUGGGAAAAUCUAUCCAAUUUUUAUAGUAAUUGGGUCAGCCCAAUUCAUGUAGUACCCAAGAAAACUGGUAUGACUGUAAUAAAAAAUGGAACAGGAGAUUUAGUUCCCACUCGAGUCCAAAAUGAGUGGAGAGUAUGUAUAGAUUACAGAAAGUUGAACCCUUUUAACUCGGAAAGACUACUUUUCACUUCUUUUUAUUGAUCAAAUGUUAGAAGCGGGAAAAACUCACUACUAGUCUUGAUGGUUAUACAGGUUUUUCCCAAAUUCUAGUGGCACCGAAGGACCAAGAGAAAACAACGUUUACAUGCCCCUUUAGCAUGUUUGCCUACAGACGAAUGUUGUUUGGACUUUGCAAUGCACCUGCCACAUACCAGAGGUGUAUGGUAAGUAUACUUUCUGGCUAUGUCGAGAAAAUAAUUAAGGUAUUUAUGGAUGAUUUUACAGUUUGUAGAAAUUCUUUCAAUUAAUGUCUGUCAAACCUCGUUAAAAUUUUGGAGAGAUGUCUAGAAUUUACUCUAAUUUUUAAUUAUGAAAAAUGCCAUUUUAUGGUAGAUAAGGGAUUUACUUUAGGGCAUAUUGUUUGCGCUGAAGGGAUUAUGAUCGAUAAGGCCAAAACUAAUGUUGUUAUUAACUCACUUCCAUACCCCACAAUUGUGAGGGAAAUUCAUUCUUUUCUUGGUCAUGCAAGUUUUUACAGGUCCUUUAUUAGGGACUUUUCUAAUAUUUUGCAACCGCUCUACAAUCUAAUGCAAAGAGAUAAAGAUUUCAAAUUUGAUCAAUCAUGCAAAGAUGUGUUCGAUAUUCUCAAACAAAAGCUUGCUUUAGCUCCUAUAGUAUAGCCGCCAAAUUGGGACUACCCUUUCGAGCUUAUGUAGGAUGCAAGUGACCAAAGUGUAGGAUGUAAGGAACCUCAAGUCAUAUCCUAUGCCUCAAAACACUAGAUGCUGGCCAGAGCAAUUACUCAACUACUGAAAAAGAAUUAUUAGCUAUUGCUUUUGCUUUGGAAAAAUUUAGAUCAUAUUUAUUAGGCACUAAAUUUAUUAUUUUUUCUAACCAUUCAGCGUUGAAAUGUUUGAUCGAAAAAAAAAAGCAAAACUCAGGUUGAUUCGAUGGAUUCUUCUAUUACAAGAAUUUGAUCUCGAGAUCAAUGACAAGAAAGGAAGUGAGAACUUAGUAGCUGAUCAUUUUAGUUGAAUUCCCUUUUCAAAAGAUGACAUACCUCUUAAAGAUAACUUCCUGGAUGAAAGUCUUCUGUCAGCUCAAACAGUUUACCUAUGGCUUGCAGAUAUAGUAAAUUACCUCGCUACAGGUAUUGUUUCUUCCAACCUCUCAUUUUCUAAAAAGGACAAGUUCAAAAGAGACUCAUGGUAUUAUAUUUAGGAUAAUCCAUACCUAUGGAAACACUACUCCAAUCAGGUAAUUCGACGAUGUGUCGCAGAAACCGAGGUACAAUCUAUCUUUUCUUUUUGUCAUUCUUAUGCUUGUGGAGGGCAUUUCGAUCCUAAAUGCACCGCAAAUAAGGUACUUGAGUGUGGAUUAUUUCGGCCACACAUAUUUCAUGACGCUUAUUUAUUUUGCAAAACUUGUAAGAGUGGUCAAAAAGUGGGGAAUUUAAGCUGAUAGAGUAAGAUGCCCCUAACACCUAUACAUGUAUGUGAAAUUUUUAUAUGUGGGGCAUCGAUUUUAUAGGACCAUUUAUUUCAUCAUUUAAUAAUGUUUACAUUAUUCUCGCUGUAGACUAUGCAUCUAAAUGGGUAGAAGCUAAAGCUACCCAACAUACUGAUGCUAAAACUGUAGUGGAUUUUCAAACAAACUUUAUUUUUUCCAAGUUUGGCACACCGAGAGCAUUAAUGAGCGAUUGAGGAACUCAUUUCUGCAACAAGGUAAUUGAUACUUUACUAAAAAAGUAUAGGUGACACAUCGUGUGGCCACGGCUUAUCACCUACAAACAAACGGUCUAGCGGAAGUUCAAAACUAUGAAAAAAAGUCGAUUCUGGAAAAGACCGUGAAACCAAAUAGGAAAGACUGGAGCUUACAAUUAAACGAUGCAUUGUGGGCAUAUCGUACUACUUACAAGGGACCCAUAGAAAUGUCCCCUUACCUAUUCAUAUUCGGUAAACCGUGUCACCUUCUAGUGGAGUUAGAAUAUAAGGCAUUUUGGGUAGUAAAAAGAUGCAACAUGGAGUUGGACGCCGCAGGUAAUUAUCAAAAAUUAAACAUUCAAGAACUCAAAGAGAUCAAGCGAGACGCAUAUGAAAACGCCCAAAUUUAUAAUGAAAAAACCAAGACAUUUUAUGACUAGAAAAUAUCUCACAAACAAUUUUCAGUUGACCAGAAAGUGUUACUUUACGAUCCUACACUGAGAAUUUUUUCGGGUAAACUUCGAACCAAAUGGCUUGGUCCUUUUGUUAUUACUAAAAUAUUUCCUCAUGAUGUAGUUGAAAUUAAAAGCGAGGAAUUCGGGAAAUGUUUUAAAGUUAAUGAUCAAACGUUAAUGAUCAAAGGUUAAAACCCUUUUACGAGAACUUUCAAGUAUACGUGGUGGAGGAAUUAUUUUUUGAGGAGCCGAACGAGUAAAUUUUCUAAGUCAUCAAGCUAACGACAUUAAAAAAAGUGCUUUAUGAGAGGCAACCCAUAUUUAUUUUUAUUUAUUUUAUUUAAUUUUGAAUUCUAGUUUAGUUUGAGAAUUAAAUAAAUAUUAUUUUAAUCCAUUUGAUCAUGCUAUUUUCCAGGAGCAACCACCUUCUACUGUAGAUAAACAACUUCAUUGCAUUAAAGUUUGCCUCGAAAUAGUAGAAGCCAGCAUCUCAAGCAUCCUCAACAUACUACAAAGCGAUCACUUCCACUGCCCUCCAGCCUAUUAAAUAUAAACGGGGAGUACAUUUUCUCCACUCAUAUUAUUCUUUUUGCACAUUGGGGGCAAUGUAGGCUAAGUAGGAGGAAUUUUGCAUCAUGUCAUACUUUCUUUUUGCAUGUGUUUUGCUAAGAAUUAUUUCUUAAUUCGUUUCAGAAAUAAACUUUUAAUUAUUAUGUUUAGUUUAUUUAAAUAAGUGGGUGAAUAAUAAAUAACUAUUGCUAGCUUGAUCAAUGAAUAUUUUGUAGAAUUGAAAAUGUGAUGCCUUAGUCAAUAUUUAAUGAAAAUUGUUGGUUUUGUUGAAUUUGCCUAAUAAAAGUACUCAGUUAAAAAUAAAUAAAUAAGUUUGCUAAUAGCUUGGUUAAGAGUGAAGAUUCAAAAAUGUGACCAAGUUGAGUAACCGGGAUGAGGUGUUUGGGUUGUCAUCUCAUUUCGCGUCAAAAGAUUUGGUGACGAGCAGAAGCUUGUAACACUCCGCUAACUAAGCUGCCUUGAAAUAAAUCGAUUAGGGACAUAUAAAAUUGAGUAACAAGGAUGAGGUGCUUUGGUUGUCAUUUCAUUUCGCAUUAAAAGGUUCGAUUAUGUCUCGAAUUCGUUAAAAAUAAAUAAAGAGAAAGUGUCGGGUUAAGUAACCGAGGUGAGGUGCUUGGUUGUCAUCUCACUUCGCAUUAAAAGACUUGACUACGUUUAAAAAUAAAUAAAACAAAAAAAUAAAAAAUGUAUAUAGAUAUAAAUAAAAGUAUAUAUUGGGUAUGACCGUUUCGCAUGUUUGAUUGAGCCUAAAUUUAGUGAAAUAGUUGAGUUUGACAUAUUGUUUGAGAUUUUAUAAAUGUUUAUUGAUUGAGUUUAGCAAUUGUUUAUUUUUUAUUCACCUAAUUGUUUUAUGUAUGCUUGACUAAAAAAGGGGGUUUUGAUUUUAAAAGGGAUUGACAAAUUAUUUUUAGUGUAUAUCAUGCUUGAGGACAAGUAUCGGCUAAGUAGGGGGAAUUUGAUAGCAAGAUAAAUUCGUAUUUUUUAUAUAUUUAUUUUUGGCUAAUUAUCAAAUGAAAUGCUAUUAAAUUUGGACUUUUCUUAUCAGGAAUGAAGUUGGUGUGCUAAAUUCAAACUCUUACAAAAGGGGGCUAAAUUGGAACAAAAAGUAAAGAGGAGGGCUUGAUUGAAAUAUUGAACAUUCACAAACGACUGGAUAAGAUUGAAGGGUUGAAGAUUUUUUUUUAAAAAAGUGGUUAGAUAAAGAUUGAAAGAUUUUUUAUAUUGUUACAACUUUAUAAUUAGUUUAAAUUCUAUGUUAAAUUUGAUUUUUAAAUUUAGAAUUAUGUAGUGAUAAUAUUUAAUGAUGAUAUUAAGAAUUAUUUAGUGAUAAUAUUUAGAAAAAAUCUAGCUAAAAUUUAACACUAAAAGUGUGUAUAAAUACCUAAUGCCUACAACCAAUUGAACACACUGUUACAUUUAAUAAAAUUCUUUAUUUUUUUUCCUUACCUGCAUCACUGUUACAUUCUGCUAUUUCAAUUUUUUUCUUUUACUUUCAACCUUUUGGUUUAAUUGCCUUCCAAGGCCCUUCCCCUUUCCAUAACCCACAAUUCCACAAAUCUAUUUUCAAAGCAUGAUUUUUUUCAUGAUUAACUAAACCCUUUUUAGCUUUAGCCCAAAAAUUGCUCUAAUAAAACAAUUGUGAGAUACGAACCCACUCAAAAAAACCUUUCAAUGCAGUAUUUUCUAUCUUUCCGGUAUAUGGGAUAGUACAAAUUCAUCCUUUAAAGUUGAUUCAGCUUCGAUUCAAAAAGUGCAUGUUGGGUUGGAGUUGUUUGGUGUACAGUUGGGAAGACGAAUCAGUCAUGUUGUGUUCGAAUUCUCGUGAACAAAUUGGUGUAUCUAGGUGAAAAAAGCCAGUUGGAUUCCGUCAAGGGAGAUAGAGAUAAUAUUUAAACGACCCACGCGAUUGAGGCCAUUGAUUCAAGUUGGGUUUUUCAGAUCGCAAGGCUGUAAAAAUCUUAAAUUGCGAACACGAAUAUCGCAAUUAGAAAUUUGGCAAGAGUCAGUUUGUAGGUCAUACCAGGAUUGACUACAUAAGGAAAAGUUGGCGGUCGGGACGUUCUUGGUCGCUAUAACCAACUACAUAAGUAAAAGUUGACGGUCAGGACGUUCUUGGCGCUAUAACCAACUUAUUGCUUUGAAGGGAAAAUCUAUUUCAAGGAUCGAUUCAAGAUUGGAAUACACCAAGGCUAAGGCUAAGCUUAAAAAAUAUUUUAUUUAUCCAUUUGUUUUAUUUUCUUAAAUUUGUUUUUACAUUUUUGAAUUCUUUUAUUUUAUUUUAUUUUUCGUAUUUUCUUAUUUUCUUAUCUUAAUCAAUUUAAACCCCCCAUUUUUAUUUUUAUUUUCAACAUUUCUACGCACAAGUCGUGGGCAUGACUGUGAUUGUGACAGCGAUUCUGGUCACGGGAAAAAGCGAAAUUAGAUAGGCAGUCCCUGUGGAUUCGACCGUACUACUCUAUACUACCAUUUACUGUUAUUUUGUUGUAGGAAUUUAUAUUUGGUGGUUUCGACGCCCAUUAUCCUCCAAAUUGGGAUACGUUCAUUUUUAUGUUCCAUUUGAUUUGGAAGUUAUCUUACUCUACAUGAUUUUCAGUAGUGGACGAGUAUAUCACACUCAUUAAAUUUGGUUAGCUAUGAGAUAAAGAUUGUGUCAAAGCUAGAGCUCAUUAGUCUUUUAAAAAACAUCUUUUGUUGUUUAAGGUGUACGAUGGUAAUCUACGCCCUUCGAACUAUCCAUUUGUUGAGGCGGAUUUCUAAGUUCAAGUUUAUGCUCUACCUUCAAACUUGUUGGUUGCUAGUACUGCUAAGCAUAUAGGUGCUUGCAUUGGCCAAUUUUGUCUGUUUGAUUCUAAUUUAGCGAAGUUGAGUUGGAGGCAGUUUAUGCGCUUUUGUGUGGCUCUUUCAAUUUCCUUUGACCAAGGGCGAAGAUAAAAAAACUUUUUAGGGGAUCAAAAUUAAAUUGUAAUUUUUACGAUAGUAAAAAUGCAAUUUCACCCUUUUAAUAGUUUAUAUAUUUAUAAUUUUUAAAGGAUUAAAUUAAAUUUUUAUCUUUAUAAGGGCAAAGUGUAAUUUUACCUUUACUAAUUUAAAAUUUUAAAAAUUUUAAAGAGCCUAAAUAGAAAAUUUUCCAUUUCAGAGGAGGCCACACCCCUGCCAGUCCCCCUAGCUAUACCUGUAACAGCCCGAUUUUGGGCCUAGUCAAAAUAGUGGUUUUGGGACCACUAAAUCGGGGUUGGAGAAUUUUUUUUUAUUUUAUGCGUUGUGGCAUGAUUAUAUGAGUAUAAAAUUUUUGGUGAAUUAAUUUUAGUGAUUGCACGCUUAUUUGGGAAAAAAACUAAUUCGCAUAAAGGGUAAAAUUACUAUUUUACUUGAUAGACAUACCAAAUAGCUAGAGAGCCAUAAUUGGAAGUCUUUAAAGGGCAGUUAGACCCCCUCCAAGAGGCAUGGCCGGCCAUAGGGACAAGGAAAUCAAUGGGUCAAAUGGUUAGGUAAUUUGAUGACCUAAUUUUGACUAGAAUAAAAAUAAAAUAAAGAGAAAAGAUAUCAUCUUUUUUUCUAUCAUCUUCUCCACCGAAAAUUCAGCCAUUGUAAGGGGUUUUGAGCUUCAAAAAUUUCAGCCACUCUCUACUCUUGCAAGUAAGUGACCUUGAUGGUUUUUCUUGAAAAUUUUUUAUAUUUUUAGAACCCUUGUAGCAUGAGCUUUCAAAUGAAGAGACUAUUUUGCAAAAUGGUUGAAAGUCUAGAGUUUUUCCAUGAUAGUAGACAUGUUUUCUGAAAUUUUAUGGAAGAAAAUGAAUCAUAGUGGUGAAAUAAACAACUUUUGUGAAGAGAUUUCUCAUGAAAACCCUAAAAAUGACCAUUUUGCAUAAGUUGUAAAAUAGGUGAUAAAGGUGUGAAAUAUUGAGAAUUUUGGACUGCUUCUAGUGUAAAAAGUAAUCUACUAGGCUUAAUAUAUGAAGAAAUUCGAUAAAAAUCGAUUUUCAGACCUAAGGGUAAAAUGGUCAUUUUGUAAAAGUCUAGGGGGCCAAUUUUAAAUUGUUCAGUAUCUAGAUUAAUAAAAUGAUUAAAUAUGUGAAUUUUUAUCAUUUUAGAUCAAGAAUUACAAAAUUCGGGCCUAGACCAGAGAAAAGCGAAGCAAGUGGACUAAGUCUAGUCGUCUACAUUUUGUAAUCCGAGGUAAGUUGUAUGUAAAUAAUACAACUACAUUGUUAUUAUAUAUUGUUGAAUUGAGAUAGCAUGAAUUGCUUGUUUGUGGAAAUAAUCAUGUAUGAUGAAUAUUGAGAUAGUAGGACUCCCAUUUGAACAUUAGGAAAUAAAUCAGAUAUUUAGGCCAUGACAUUCGGGACAUUUGUGUGCUAGUGUAAGACAUGUCUGGGACAUGCAUUGGCCACAUUAUGAGAGCCAAUGUAAGACCAUAUCUAGGACAUGGCAUCGGCAUUGAGACGAGAGCUAGUGUAAAACAUGUCUAGGACAUGCAGCCAGUGUAAGACAUGUCUGAGACAUACAUCAGCUACAUGAUGUGUCAGUGUAAGACCAUGUCUAGGACAUGGCAUCGGCACGGAUACGUGAGAGUCAGUGUAAAACCAUGUUUGGGACAUGGCAUCGACUUAACGUGAGAGCCAGUGUAAGACCAUGUCUAGGACAUGGCAUUGGCAUUAUACCCUAUGUUUAAGGCUUAGUGACUAUCCGAUAGUAUUUCAAAUGGUUCAACGGUGAGAGUUAUAGUUUAAGUUAAAUGAGAAAAGUAUAACCAUGUUGUGAGUGAUACAGGUACCUAAAUGAAAUGCAUGAGAUGUGAUCUUAGUAUUGCUAUGUGAAUUGUGUUAGAUAGUGACGAGUAAGUUGUGCUUAUACCUAUUUAAUUGUUAUAAACGUGAUGAUGAAUAGUAAAGUUGUCGUUAUAUUUAUUUUCAUGCAACUUACUAAGCUUUAUGCUUACCUUAUUUCUUUCCAUUUUCUUAUAGUGCCGUCUAAUUAGCUCGUGGAUCAACGAACUUUGGAGGCAUUGAUCACAUUAUCAAUCGAAGCACUUGGUAUAGUUAGAUCUAUAUAUUUUAAUUAUGGCAUGUAUAGGACCCUGACUUUAGAAUUUUGUGUCAUUGUUAAUUGGCCAAAUGUGUUGGCCUACUAUAUCAUUUUGAUUCAUUUUGCAUAAGGCCACGAAAAUGGCUACAGUUGAAAAUUGUUAUAUGAAUAUAAGAAGUUAUUACAUGAAUGGGUAAUUUUGUUGGUUGCUUUAGUGAAUAUGAAAUGUGUAAAGGCCUUAGAUGUAGUCGUUGAAUUGAGGAAUCAUAUUAUGAUGAUCUUUAGCAUGAUAAAUGUUGUUAGUUUGUAUUUCAGGGUGGAAAAGGGCUUGGUAAAUAGCCCUAUGUUAUCCACACGGGUAGACACACGGGCGUCUGUCUAGGCCGUGUGGACACACAGCUAACCCAUGGGCGUGUUGUUCGGCCGUGUGUCCCUUGCACGUAAAAAUUUCAAGUCAGUAUGCAUGGUAGUAAAAAUAUGGGCAGAGACACGACUGUGUGUCUCAGCCGUGUGAAGGGCACGACCUAGCACACAGGCGUGUGCCUUAACCAUGUGACCCUCAAUAUUUUUAUACACGGGCAUGACAUGGCCGUGUGAGAAACACAGGCCAUAGACACGGGUGUGUGUCAUGCCGUGUGAAAACCCCUGUAGGUUCGAAUUUAGAAUUUAAUUCACACGGGCGUGGGACACGAGCGUGUCCCUAGAGGCUUAGGCCAUAUGUGUCACACGGGCCAUCAGCAUGGCCAUGUUAUAAUGAACACACGGGCGUAUUGCCCUUCCACACGCGCGUGUGCCCUGUUUCAAAGGUUAUUUUUUUAAAGUCGAUUAAAGACCUGAGCCGGUCCCGAGUGGUUCCAAAUGGACGUUUGAGGCAUCGUAGGCCUUUGUUAAGGAGUUUAGUUAAAGUUUUAAAUUUGAUCAAGUUUAGAUGACUCGAGAACGUUGAAAAGCAUGUGUUUAAGUGAGGUAAUGCCUUGUAUUCCGUCUCGGUGUAGGACUCGGAUGUGGGGUGUUACAAUACCUUUACUUUUGACUCCACUCAUAUCAUUUCUUGGUACCAAUGGAAAACCAAUACAGGGUCUUCUUAAGUAUGAAUGGUUGCAUGUUUUCUGCUAUGUUUGUCGGCUCCUAGGAUAUAAUAAGUUUGACUAUGAGUGCCCCAAUUCUACUAAUGGUGCUUGGGAUGAUGAUCAACAAUAUGGUGACUAGAUCCGAGCCUCCAUCACCUCAAGAAAGUGAACUUCAAUGAAAACCCAACUUGGAGCAACCAAUUGUUGAAGUUGUGACACUAAGUGUGUGGUGUCGCGAUAUUAAGCCUUAAAGUCACAACUACAAGACCUUGAGAUUGUGACUCUAAGCUAAUUUUUGAAGUGAAGAAACCCAAUAGCCAUUAUCAUCGAGGUCACGACACCAAAAAGGUUAUGUCAUGACAUCAAGUGCCCCCUGCCAUGGGUGUCACAGCACCAAAGUCUAACAAGUGAAAAAAAUAUAGGGAUGAUUUUCUAUCCAAACAAGCUUAAGUCACUUUUCAUUUGAAGACAUAAUUAUCUUUGUUAGGUUGAAUGUUAGUAGACUAUAUAUAAUAUUUUAUAAUCUUUUGGGAGUGGAUUUUUAGAGGCUAAACAUUUUCUUAAUCCCUUCCGUUAUAGCCUAUCCUUAGUCAUUUCCUUCGAAUUCAAUGUUUAAAGUUAAUUUUGAUGUUGGGUUCUCUGCACAUAACAACAAUGAUGGUGUGAGGGUUGUUAUUAGGGACUCCAAUAGUCUUUUAAUGGGUCCUUCUAUGAAUUUCAAGUCUUACUUCGUGGAUUCUUAGAUGGAAAAGGCAGUUGCUGGGAAUUCUACUUUUUGAUUUGCUCUCAAUUUGGGGCUUCACGGGAUUAUUUGGAAGGUGAUGCUUUCACUGUUAUCAAAAUUUUUUCUUCCACCCGAGCUAACAAGUCUCGAUUGGGUACUUUGGGCAUAAUGCUCGAAUUUUGGUUGUUAUGUUUGACUGGUGUGAAUUCUGACACGUUCAUCGCACUAGAAAUUAGGUCGCCCUUUUUCUGGACAAGGAAGCUCUAAAUGUUGCAUCUGACCUCUUCUGGGUGGAAGAAGGGCCUGCAUUUUUGUUUCCACGGCUUCCUUGUGACUUGGCUUCAUUUUCAUAGUUGCUUGGUCUUUUAACUACCAUUGAUUAGACUUGAUCAUUGGUCAGGUUAGGUUCGAGCCGGGCUAAUAUAAAAUUUUAGGCCCAUUUUUUAUGUGCUCAACUCGAAAAAUAAGUCUAAAUUUUUAUCCAAGCUAGGUCCAGAAAAAAAAAUGUUAUGCAUAUCUAUCUAUGGACAUCUAGGGAAAAUGUUAUAAAUAACUUUAAAGUGAAUGUCUACUUUAGGACUUUAAUAUCCAUUAGAAUUAGAAUUCUACUUCUUAUAUACAGACUUAAAAAUUUUAUAUAUAUCAUAUUAAAAAAUAAAUAAUACUUAUUUAUCUCUUUAUUUUCUAUUUUUUACUUAUUUUUUGAAAUGGAAAUGUUUUCAUUAAAGACUGUUAUAAAAUUAACCAAGAAAUAAUCAAGAGAGUGCAUCGAUAUAGAGCACUGAUAGACUAAACUAACAAGACAGUAGAAAACCAAAAUACUAGAGGAAAAUAAACAGAUAACCCUCCAGAAAAACCGAAGCUACAUCAAUGGUAGACCUGAUCAUAAGUCAGGCCACCUACCCAGGCCCGAAGGCUUGCCCAAAAAGUAAAAGGGUUUGGGCAAAAAUAUAGGCUCGAAAAAUGGGCUUGAUAAAAAAAUAAGGCAUGUUUUCUAAAUAGAAUAGGCCGGGACAUCCACCCAAGCUUAAAGACCCGCCCAAAAAGUGGAAUAAAAGUAUAGGCCCAAAAAAUGGGCUUAGACAAAAAAUAAGGCUCGUUUUCUAAACAGAAUGGGUCGGGCCUCGAGUAAGAUUUUUUUGCCUAGGCUCGACCUAACCCAGCCUAAAUUUGAUUAAAAUGUUUUCAUUGUUGUUUUGUUGUUAUUGUUUGAAUAUUGUAUAACUGUUGUUCUAUUAUUAAUUUUGCUAAUAUUUUAGAGGUAUUUGCUUGUUAUAUUUGAUGUAUUAUAUUUUUUUAAUUUGUUUUUAUAUAAAAAAAAUUUAAUAUGGGUAGAUCGGACUAAGCUCGGGUUUAACAUUUUUUAUCUAGACCUAGCUUGGAUAAAAAUUUAGACUUAUUUUUCGAGUUAAGCCCAAACCUAAAAAACGGGCCUAAAAUUUUACAUUAGCCGGGCUUGAACGUAGCCUGACCAAUGAUCAGGUCUAAUCAAUGUAGUUAAAAGACCAAGCAACUAUGAAAAUGAAGCCAAGUCACAAUGAAGUUGUGGAAACAAAAAUGCAGGCCCUUCUUCCACCCAGAAGAGGCCAGAUGGAACAUUUAGAGCUUCCUUGUCCAGAAGAUAAGUGACCUAAUUUCUAGUGCGAUGAACGUGUCGGAAUUCACACCAAUCAAAUAUAACUAUCAAACUUCGAGCAUUAUGCCCAAAGUACCCAAUAGAGACUUGUCAACUCAAGUGGAAGAAAAACUUUUGAUAACAGUGAAGUAUCACCUUCCAAAUAAUCCACAAAUUGCGAGCAAAUCAAAAAGUAGAAUUCCCAGCAACUGCCUUUGCCAUCUAAGAAUCCACAAAGUAAGACUUGAAACUCAUACAAGGAAAAAUUCUAAGUAGAGGAAAAGUAGUACAUAUAUUUUUAAUAUGCGUAACAUGUUGCCUCGUUAAAAAUCUUAUCAAGAAAAUCUAAUGUGGCAAAACCUCUGUUAAGGGAAAAAGAAUACAACACAUAUUUACUUCGCCUCAUUACAAUAUCACAUAAGAUCUUAGAUUUUAUAUAUUUCAAUCUUGAAUACUAACUUUUCAAAUUAUUACUCAAAUUAUUGACCAAAAAAUUAUCACUUGAAUUGAUUUGUUAAACAUUUAUAUCACCAUUCUUUUGAAAGUUAUGGAUGAGAAAGAACUUCAAGAAAACUUAUUGUGUUUGUUUUUUUUUUAAUAUGCCAUUCUUUUGAGAAAGAAAACUAUAGUUAUUUACAUCUAACAAUCUUAUAGCUGUAGGGGUACUCAAUGGAAAUACUUUUAUCUAUAUAAAAUCUCUUUACAGCCCUUUUAAUAUAUGUGAAGUUAUAGAAAAAAAAAUUCAUAUGUAAAGUGAUUGCAAGUUAAAGCAAAAAUUUGUUUUCCAAUGCCUUUUAUCUCAAAUCAUUUCUUUAAAUAAUUUACUACUUUAGUAUCUCUUCAAGAGUUUCAAUAAUAUUUAGAUUAAUGUAUACAACAAUCAUAAGAAACUAAGAUCAUGAUAUUUCAAAAAAAAAUACAUAAGCAUGUUGGAUCAUGUUUAUGGUUAAACUAUGCCAUACGUCCUUUUAUUCUUCCUAAAUUUGGAAUUUAGUCUAUAUACUUUUAUUUUAAGGACUUUAGUUCAUUUACUUUUUAAAUUUCAAAAUUCAAGUCAAUUUGUUAACACUGUUUUUUUUUGUUAUAUUUGUUGGUGUGACAUUUUGAAAUAAAAAAAAACUCACUUAGUAGCAAUAUAACUAAAAUAAUGGCGUUGUAACUUGAAUUUAACAAAAAUAAUUUUAACAGCGUUAAUAGUUGUACCUGAAUUUUGAACUUUGAAAAGUAAAAUGAUUAAAUUUCCAAAAAUACAAGUACGAUGAUUAAAUUCUAAAUUUAUAAAAAAUAUAGGGACAAAUGGCAUAUUUUAACCCAUUUGUAUCCCCAUUAGUUUUACAGCUUUAUAUGCUUAGAUUAUUGGUCCAAAAAUUUCAUGAUGGGAAAACGAAUUAAUUUUACUUGAAUUGUAUCUUUGUAUUUUGACUAAUCAUGUUAAUCGAUAAUUUUGUCAAACCAUUUCAUAUAUAAAUAACAAUUUUGCAAUUUUUAUUCCAAUCGACAAUCUAACAUACACUAAUCAUUGAAUUUAUCAAUAAACUUACCAAUUUUAACAAGAAAUAUCUCAAUUGCAUAAUAUAAAAUAAUAAAACAACAACAUAAUUUUAAUUAUUUAUAUUCCUAAUAAAAUAACGUUUUCUUUAAUCAUGAUCCUCGAAGAAGUGUUCUAUUUCUAGAUGUGUUAUAUCAUCCAAUCCAUUGGAGUUAUCAAUCUUGUAUACCAAAUUUGAUUCAACAUGCUAAAUUAGUGUCUGGAAAAUCUCCCUUUUAAUAUAAUAGAAUCUUGAUUGAGAUUAAACAAAAUGUUCCAAGUGUAUAAUAAAUACAUGACCAAUGACCUUUCAUACUAUAUUGAUAACAUAAAUUAUUUCCACUCCUUAAAAGGUUUACACGACCAAUAACCUUUCAUACUACAUUGAUAACAUAAAUUAUUUCCACUCCUUAAAAAUGAUUCCUAAGAACUCUUGUUAUCUUUAUUUUUUUCAAUUGUAUUGGUGGAAGAAUUAUUAUGACCCCCUUUUUGACCAUUAUUAUUAUUCCACUAACCAUGUCUAUGUCCACUUCCACUAACAAUUAUUAGUAAAAAUGAAACAGUGCAAGAUCUCGUAUAGAUAUGCACUUUGCACUACCCGCUACCCAGAUCUGAGUGGUCUAAUGAAUAUCUUGGCUAAUUUAUCAAUUAAGAACAUUUAGAUCAGAUCUAAACAGAGGAAAAUUCAAGAAACUUACUGCUAUAGGGAUGGAAACUGAAAAGAAACGAUAGUCCACAAAAACGAUGGUGUCCUAAGGAGGCGGCAACACCAUUAGCGACGGCAUAAAGGGCUGAUUUGGGCAGCACAAGGAGGGAUCUUUGAACAGCCAAAAAGAUUAAUUUUUAGGGCUGGAAUGAUGAUUUAUUGGCUAUAAAAACAACAACCAAAAAUUGACACACAAAGAAGAACAAAAGAAAAAGAAAAAGAGAACUUACCGGCACCACUACGAACAAAGGAGAGGGGGCAACAAUGGAUAGUAGAGAGGGCUGAGAGGGACGGCUUAAAGAUGAGUUUAAGGCAGAAAAUAGGGCUGAUUUAGGAGGUUAAAACAACCAGCAAAGUGGAUGGAAAAACAAAAGUAAAGGCUUUAGCAAAUGGAUGACACAACUAGUGAAAUCCCAUAGAAAAGAUGAGUGAAUGAACAAGAGGAGAACAGGCGCUGCUAGAGGAGUGAAUGAACAGAGAAAAGAGCUGUAAAACAAAGAAAAAGUGAUAUAAAUAACUAGUGUUACUAGGCUUGGGCGGCACAAAACAAGGAGGAGAAAAAAUCAAUGUUAAGACCAAAGCUUUCACCAUCCUUUUAAAAAAAAAUAGAAAUAAAAUAAAUUAAUCAAAUCAAUCAUAAUUAGAUGAGAAUGUCAAAGUGUGAAACUUCCAAUCCUCACAAUGCUGUUAGUUCUUAUUUUUCUUCUUGAAUCCCA